rnacentral:rRNA from 3 species
CCGAACCGACUAAUGUUGAAAAAUUAGCGGAUGACCUGUGGCUGGGGGUGAAAGGCCAAUCAAACCGGGAGAUAGCUGGUUCUCCCCGAAAGCUAUUUAGGUAGCGCCUCGUGAAUUCAUCUCCGGGGGUAGAGCACUGUUUCGGCUAGGGGGCCAUCCCGGCUUACCAACCCGAUGCAAACUGCGAAUACCGGAGAAUGUUAUCACGGGAGACACACGGCGGGUGCUAACGUCCGUCGUGAAGAGGGAAACAACCCAGACCGCCAGCUAAGGUCCCAAAGUCAUGGUUAAGUGGGAAACGAUGUGGGAAGGCCCAGACAGCCAGGAUGUUGGCUUAGAAGCAGCCAUCAUUUAAAGAAAGCGUAAUAGCUCACUGGUCGAGUCGGCCUGCGCGGAAGAUGUAACGGGGCUAAACCAUGCACCGAAGCUGCGGCAGCGACACUGUGUGUUGUUGGGUAGGGGAGCGUUCUGUAAGCCUGCGAAGGUGGCCUGUGAGGGUUGCUGGAGGUAUCAGAAGUGCGAAUGCUGACAUAAGUAACGAUAAAGCGGGUGAAAAGCCCGCUCGCCGGAAGACCAAGGGUUCCUGUCCAACGUUAAUCGGGGCAGGGUGAGUCGACCCCUAAGGCGAGGCCGAAAGGCGUAGUCGAUGGGAAACGGGUUAAUAUUCCCGUACUUGGUGUUACUGCGAAGGGGGGACGGAGAAGGCUAUGUUGGCCGGGCGACGGUUGUCCCGGUUUAAGCGUGUAGGUGUGUGUUCCAGGUAAAUCCGGUUCACUUUAACACUGAGGCGUGACGACGAGGCACUACGGUGCUGAAGCAACAAAUGCCCUGCUUCCAGGAAAAGCCUCUAAGCAUCAGGUAACAUCAAAUCGUACCCCAAACCGACACAGGUGGUCAGGUAGAGAAUACCAAGGCGCUUGAGAGAACUCGGGUGAAGGAACUAGGCAAAAUGGUGCCGUAACUUCGGGAGAAGGCACGCUGACACGUAGGUGAAGUGAUUUACUCAUGGAGCUGAAGUCAGUCGAAGAUACCAGCUGGCUGCAACUGUUUAUUAAAAACACAGCACUGUGCAAACACGAAAGUGGACGUAUACGGUGUGACGCCUGCCCGGUGCCGGAAGGUUAAUUGAUGGGGUCAGCGCAAGCGAAGCUCCUGAUCGAAGCCCCGGUAAACGGCGGCCGUAACUAUAACGGUCCUAAGGUAGCGAAAUUCCUUGUCGGGUAAGUUCCGACCUGCACGAAUGGCGUAAUGAUGGCCAGGCUGUCUCCACCCGAGACUCAGUGAAAUUGAACUCGCUGUGAAGAUGCAGUGUACCCGCGGCAAGACGGAAAGACCCCGUGAACCUUUACUAUAGCUUGACACUGAACAUUGAGCCUUGAUGUGUAGGAUAGGUGGGAGGCUUUGAAGUGUGGACGCCAGUCUGCAUGGAGCCGACCUUGAAAUACCACCCUUUAAUGUUUGAUGUUCUAACGUGGACCCGUUACCCGGGUUGCGGACAGUGUCUGGUGGGUAGUUUGACUGGGGCGGUCUCCUCCUAAAGAGUAACGGAGGAGCACGAAGGUUGGCUAAUCCUGGUCGGACAUCAGGAGGUUAGUGCAAUGGCAUAAGCCAGCUUGACUGCGAGCGUGACGGCGCGAGCAGGUGCGAAAGCAGGUCAUAGUGAUCCGGUGGUUCUGAAUGGAAGGGCCAUCGCUCAACGGAUAAAAGGUACUCCGGGGAUAACAGGCUGAUACCGCCCAAGAGUUCAUAUCGACGGCGGUGUUUGGCACCUCGAUGUCGGCUCAUCACAUCCUGGGGCUGAAGUAGGUCCCAAGGGUAUGGCUGUUCGCCAUUUAAAGUGGUACGCGAGCUGGGUUUAGAACGUCGUGAGACAGUUCGGUCCCUAUCUGCCGUGGGCGCUGGAGAACUGAGGGGGGCUGCUCCUAGUACGAGAGGACCGGAGUGGACGCAUCACUGGUGUUCGGGUUGUCAUGCCAAUGGCACUGCCCGGUAGCUAAAUGCGGAAGAGAUAAGUGCUGAAAGCAUCUAAGCACGAAACUUGCCCCGA